CACACUUCAAGCAGGAUUAACAUCAUGGGCAACUCCAAGGGGUGUGAGAGCACACGACUUUGCCGCUGUUGGGUGUCACACAUGAUGGGAGAAUUGAAGCUCAUGAACAAACAAGUUGUCCUUGCCAAGAUUCCACCCAGGUCAGAGAAAGCAAAGUCAGGAUUUGAACCCAAAUCUUCCUUCAAAUUCAGAUCUCUUCCUCUACCACUGGUUUUCUGGAACUCUUAAAUCAGCCUGUCCUCAAUCCCUACAGCUGGCACACCAGGAGAUCUUCUGAGUGAGAUCUUCACACCCCUCUGGAAUUGGCAUUCUCCUUCUAGUAUCCCUUCCACUGCUCCUUGGAAACAGCAAGUUCUGUUUUUAG
rnacentral:lncRNA from 1 species